rnacentral:rRNA from 1 species
UACGUAGGUGGCAAGCGUUGUCCGGAUUUAUUGGGCGUAAAGCGAGCGCAGGCGGUUUCUUAAGUCUGAUGUGAAAGCCUUCGGCUUAACCGGAGAAGUGCAUCGGAAACUGGGAGACUUGAGUGCAGAAGAGGACAGUGGAACUCCAUGUGUAGCGGUGAAAUGCGUAGAUAUAUGGAAGAACACCAGUGGCGAAGGCGGCUGUCUGGUCUGUAACUGACGCUGAGGCUCGAAAGCAUGGGUAGCGAAC